rnacentral:tRNA from 1 species
AAGGUGUUAGCUCAAUUGGAAGAGCAGCUGUUUGCUAAACAGAAGGAUGCAGGUUCGAGCCCUUGCACACCUUU